rnacentral:rRNA from 1 species
CAGUAGCCGCGGUAAUACAGAGGGUGCGAGCGUUAAUCGGAUUUACUGGGCGUAAAGCGUGCGUAGGCGGCUUUUUAAGUCGGAUGUGAAAUCCCUGAGCUUAACUUAGGAAUUGCAUUCGAUACUGGGAAGCUAGAGUAUGUGAGAGGAUGGUAGAAUUCCAGGUGUAGCGGUGAAAUGCGUAGAGAUCUGGAGGAAUACCGAUGGCGAAGGCAGCCAUCUGGCCUAAUACUGACGCUGAGGUACGAAAGCAUGGGGAGCAAACAGGAUUAGAUACCCCUGUAGUCCCUGUCUCUUAUAA